CUUUUGGAAGCCCUCCCAUUCUUCUCCAGGCAAGACUUUCUGUGUCUGUCCAAUCACAGACUUCCCAAUGCAGCUCAUAGACAAAUCUUUGCAAGUUGCCUGCCUUUUGAGAUCGCUCCAAUAAGUUAACAAAACCAGGAAGUAACAGGACCUGUUUGACAGCCAGGGGCAUGUGGCAAGGUUCAUUUAUAAAAGUGCCAAUUUCUAAUGAAAUUUGACUGUUCGUGAAAUCAAAAAGAGAGGACACACUCUUCACACCUAAAGCACUUAAAACAAUUGCAUAGAGCAAUCUAAAGUGCAUUAAGGUUCUGGAGUGUCCCUUUAAGUUAAAUUAGGCUGUGAUAUUUUAGGGUCUGUAUGAAUAUUUGCUGGCUUAUGCAAUAACUAAUUUUGCCUCCCCCCUAGGAUCCACCUACAGCACACUCAUGCU